UUCUUUUUCCCUCUUUUUGCCCAAAGUCCCAAACACAACCGCUCUCUCUCUCGCCCAGUACCUCACCACACUCUCUCUCGCUACCUCCUUCAGCAUCAACUGCCGAAUCUCUGUCUGCAGUCCAGGUAAUUAAGAAAUCUCCCAAACACAACCGCUCUCUCUCUCGCCCAGUACCUCACCACUCUCUCUCUCGCUGCCUCCUUCAGCAUCAACUGCCGAAUCUCUGUCUGCAGUCCAGAUGCGCUCAGUUUCUCUGGAGCUUGAGAUUCUUAGCAAGCAUCAGCACCCUGAAUUAACGAUUCCCUUUUUAAAGCCCACUUUCCAGCCUUGGCGGUUCAGCUGCCUGGACUGAUUUCAAGGUCAAAAGGUGCAAGGAUGGUACUCAGGAGGGGAAGGCUCCUCGACCACAUGGGAAGAGAUUUCAAAGAAAUCCAAGGCACGCAGCAGCAGCGUUUCUAGUUUGAAAUCGGUUUCUUUUUCCAUUAUUGGGAAUCGCUUCCCAUCUCUAACUUCAAGACUUGGACCCUUUCAAGUUUCCUAGUCGGGAACACCAUCCAUUAUUUGAAAAGGCUGCUCAUCUUCAAGUCAGCAGUGACGGAUUUGGAGUUAAUUUUGGAAAUCCAAAGCCAAGAGCUUGAUAUUACCGGAUUGCUGAUGCAACUAGUGGGCAUGAAAUUUUGAGGGAGUCUAUAGGAGAUGAAGUAACUCCAAAUGCAAAUCAUGACCAGCCCUCAUUGGAGCAGAAUUCUCCAGUAAUAUCCCCUUCACAAAAUGGAACUCAAAGGGUUCUCAUGGCAAAAAGAGCAAAGCAAAUGAAAGCAAGUGCAAAGCUCACAA
rnacentral:lncRNA from 1 species